AACGAACGCUGGCGGCAGGCUUAACACAUGCAAGUCGAGCGCCCCGCCAGGGGAGCGGCAGACGGGUGAGUAACGCGUGGGAACGUACCUUUUGGUUCGGAACAACUCCGGGAAACUGGAGCUAAUACCGGAUAAGCCCUAACGGGGAAAGAUUUAUCGCCGAAAGAUCGGCCCGCGUCUGAUUAGCUAGUUGGUGAGGUAACGGCUCACCAAGGCGACGAUCAGUAGCUGGUCUGAGAGGAUGAUCAGCCACACUGGGACUGAGACACGGCCCAGACUCCUACGGGAGGCAGCAGUGGGGAAUAUUGGACAAUGGGCGCAAGACUGAUCCAGCCAUGCCGCGUGAGUGAUGAAGGCCUUAGGGUUGUAAAGCUCUUUUGUCCGGGAAGAUAAUGACUGUACCGGAAGAAUAAGCCCCGGCUAACUUCGUG
rnacentral:rRNA from 1 species